rnacentral:rRNA from 1 species
UACGUAGGUGGCAAGCGUUGUCCGGAAUUAUUGGGCGUAAAGCGCGCGCAGGCGGUCCUUUAAGUCUGAUGUGAAAGCCCACGGCUCAACCGUGGAGGGUCAUUGGAAACUGGGGGACUUGAGUGCAGGAGAGAAGAGUGGAAUUCCACGUGUAGCGGUGAAAUGCGUAGAGAUGUGGAGGAACACCAGUGGCGAAGGCGGCUCACUGGCCCGGAACUGACGCUGAGACGCGAAAGCGUGGGGAGCAAACAGG